rnacentral:rRNA from 1 species
UACGGAGGGUGCAAGCGUUAUUCGGAAUUACUGGGCGUAAAGCGCGUGCAGGCGGGCGAGCAAGUCUGAUGUGAAAGCCCUGGGCUUAACCCGGGAAGUGCAUUGGAAACUGUUCGUCUUGAGUCCUGGAGAGGAAGGGGGAAUUCCCGGUGUAGAGGUGAAAUUCGUAGAGAUCGGGAGGAAUACCAGUGGCGAAGGCGCCCUUCUGGACAGUGACUGACGCUGAGACGCGAAAGCGUGGGGAGCAAACAGG